rnacentral:tRNA from 1 species
UAGUGGUAAAACCACAGCCUUCCAAGCUGUUGUCGCGAGUUCGAUUCUCGUCACCCG